UCCUACACAACUGCUUUCUACUGGCCAUAGUUCUUUGCAAGUAGAUAAGAAGGAAAAGAAUGGGAAGGAAUUACAAUUUACUGUUGACCGUAUACCAUAGGCUGACUCUGAAGUAGGUGUUAUUGUCCCUAUUUUACAGAUGAAGAAACUGAGGCUCAGAGGAGUGAGUUGCCCAAGGUCACAAGGUGGCAGAGCUGGGAUUUGGAUUUAGGUCUGUCUGGCUCUGAACUUGUGCCUUUUCUUCUUCUCUUCACUUCCUCUCUUCCACAUCAAAUGUCCUGUCCUAGCUGGUCAGGAGGGACUAGUGAGGGGUCUGCUUCCCUGUUUAAAAACUGUUAAGUGAGAUUUGAGUAGCAGAUGUAAGAUGUGGACUUAGUGUGAUUAUAAAAGGACACCAGGGUGUCAAGAGAGGAAAGGUCCAGUUCUGAUGGUCUCACUUGCUCUUUUAUGGAAUAAGAUUAAGAUUCCAUUUCAUCUGACAUAGGAAUCAGUGGGGGAUUUCUGGGCAUGAACUUCUAGGUCAGAUGGGUUAUUCUCAGAGCUCCAUGAGUAUGAGACUGGCUACAGUAGAUGGCCACCUUUUGGGACUGUGGAAAAUUGAUGGGGAAUAAGGAGCCCAAUGGAAUCUACCCUCUGAUAUAUUUGUUUCAUUCAGACUAAAUCUCUAAAGGGUUAGACCUAAGCAAAGAUCUAAAAGGAAAUCAGACUGCUAUGCUGUUGUGCUGGAAGUUUUUACCCUCUAUUCUUCUUCCUGAGUGCUCAGUUGAACCUUGAAGGGAAGCCCAUUCUGAGGAGCCUUCACCCUGCUAUUGGCUUGCUUCUGGGGACAGCCCUAGGUGAGAGCUGCUAGUGUGGGCUCUGGCAGGUGCUGCUGUGCCUCGUCCCUGGUUCAUAUCCCUGGUCCAGGCUCAGACUCAGCAACAGAGCCUGACCCUGGGUCCUGGUUUACACUAGAAUAUGAGGCAUUUGACAAGACUGACUGUGCUCCUGAUCUUGGGUACUUUGAGUCUUGCUAAGACCAUCCAGCCCAUCUUCAUUGACUCAUAUGAAGGACAAGAAGUGAACAUAUCCUGUAACCACACCAACAUUGCUACAGAGGACUAUAUCUUCUGGUACCGACAGUUCCCCAACCAGGGACCACAAUUUGUCAUUCAAGGAUAUAAGACAAACAUCGCAAAUGAAGUGGCAUCUCUGUUUAUCCCUACUGAGAGGAAGUCCAGCACCCUGAGCCUGCCCUGCGCUGCCCUGAAAGACGCUGCUGUGUAUUACUGCGUCGUGAGUGACACACAGUGAGACAGGUGGAGCUGCACCUGUUCAAUAUCUCCCUGU